rnacentral:rRNA from 1 species
CCUACGGGUGGCAGCAGUGGGGAAUAUUGCACAAUGGGGGAGACCCUGAUGCAGCGACGCCGCGUGAGUGAAGAAGUAAUUCGUUAUGGAAAGCUCUAUCAGCAGGGAAGAAAAUGACGGUACCUGAGUAAGAAGCCCCGGCUAACUACGUGCCAGCAGCCGCGGUAAUACGUAGGGAGCAAGCGUUAUCCGGAUUUACUGGGUGUAAAGGGGGCGUAGACGGCAGUGCAGGUCUGGAGUGAAAGGCGGGGGCUCAACCCCCGGACUGCUCUGGAAACUGUACGGCUGGAGUGCAGGAGAGGUAAGUGGAAUUCCUGGUGUAGCGGUGAAAUGCUUAGAUAUUAGGCGGAACACCAGUGGCGAAGGCGGCUUACUGGACUGUAACUGACGUUGAGGCUCGAAAGCGUGGGGAGCAAACAGGAUUAGAUACCCCUGUAGUC